GAUGAACGCUGGCGGCGUGCCUAAUACAUGCAAGUCGAGCGAACGGACGAGAAGCUUGCUUUUCUGAUGUUAGCGGCGGACGGGUGAGUAACACGUGGAUAACCUACCUAUAAGACUGGGAUAACUUCGGGAAACCGGAGCUAAUACCGGAUAAUAUUUUGAACCGCAUGGUUCAAAGGUGAAAGACGGUCUUGCUGUCACUUAUAGAUGGAUCCGCGCUGCAUUAGCUAGUUGGUAAGGUAACGGCUUACCAAGGCAACGAUGCAUAGCCGACCUGAGGGGGUGAUCGGCCACACUGGAACUGAGACACGGUCCAGACUCCUACGGGAGGCAGCAGUAGGGAAUCUUCCGCAAUGGGCGAAAGCCUGACGGAGCAACGCCGCGUGAGUGAUGAAGGUCUUCGGAUCGUAAAACUCUGUUAUUAGGGAAGAACAUAUGUGUAAGUAACUGUGCACAUCUUGACGGUACCUAAUCAGAAAGCCACGGCUAACUACGUG
rnacentral:rRNA from 1 species